AGCAUGGAAACGCCUAUCACUGGCAUUUCCGAGUGUCGGAAACGUUUUCACCCUGGAAACGGUGGGACUCGGCCUUGAAACGUUUCGGGAUGUGUCUGGAAAAUCCAAAAAAUGGAAACGCUUUUCUCUAAAAAAAAAUGGAAAUUGCAGCGGGAGGAGAAGAGAACACAAACUCUCUUUUACUUUCUUGUGGUUUCAUUUCCCAUCAGCAAGCAA
rnacentral:misc_RNA from 1 species